rnacentral:rRNA from 1 species
GAUGAACGCUGGCGGCGCGCCUAACACAUGCAAGUCGAACGAUUAAAGCACCUUCGGGUGUGUAUAAAGUGGCGAACGGCUGAGUAACACGUGGGCAACCUGCCCCUUUCAUUGGGAUAGCCACGGGAAACCGUGGAUAAUACCGAAUACUUCGAGACUUCCGCAUGGAAGACUCGAGAAAGCUCCGGCGGAGAGGGAUGGGCCCGCGGCCUGUUAGCUUGUUGGUGGGGUAACGGCCUACCAAGGCAAUGAUGGGUAGCUGGGUUGAGAGACCGACCAGCCAGAUUGGGACUGAGACACGGCCCAGACUCCUACGGGAGGCAGCAGUGGGGAAUCUUGCACAAUGGGCGAAAGCCUGAUGCAGCGACGCCGCGUGCGGGAUGAAGGCCUUCGGGUUGUAAACCGCUUUCAGCAGGGACGAGGCGAAAGUGACGGUACCUGCAGAGGAAGCCCCGGCUAACUACGUG